GCCUGUUAAAAGCAACCUUGUCGAAAGGCAAGGGCGCAAAGCCACCGGCCUAAGGGAUGCGUCCUUCCGGGACUAACUUCCUAAGGCAGCGGAGCUGCCAGG
rnacentral:ncRNA from 1 species